rnacentral:rRNA from 1 species
UACGUGGGGUGCGAGCGUUGUUCGGAAUUACUGGGCGUAAAGCGCGUGUAGGCGGCUUAUUAUGUCAGGUGUGAAAGCCCUCGGCCUAACCGAGGAAGUGCGCCUGAAACUGAUAAGCUUGAGUACGAGAGAGGAGGACGGAAUUCCCAGUGUAGAGGUGAAAUUCGUAGAUAUUCGGAAGAACACCAGUGGCGAAGGCGGCUAACUGGCCCAUUACUGACGCUGAGGCUCGAAAGCGUGGGGAGCAAACAGG